rnacentral:rRNA from 1 species
UGGGGAAUUUUGGACAAUGGGCGCAAGCCUGAUCCAGCCAUGCCGCGUGCAGGAUGAAGGCCUUCGGGUUGUAAACUGCCUUUGUACGGAACGAAGAGACUCUGGUUAAUACCUGGGGUCCAUGACGGUACCGUAAGAAUAAGCACCGGCUAACUACGUGCCAGCAGCCGCGGUAAUACGUAGGGUGCGAGCGUUAAUCGGAAUUACUGGGCGUAAAGCGUGCGCAGGCGGUUAUGUAAGACAGAUGUGAAAUCCCCGGGCACAGCCUGGGAACUGCGUUUGUGACUGCAUAGCUAGAGUACGGGUGGGCGGGAUGGAAUUCCGAGUGUAGCAGUGAAAUGCGUAGAUAUGCGGAGGAACACCGAUGGCGAAGGCAAUCCCCUGUGCCUGUACUGACGCUCAUGCACGAAAGCGUGGGGAGCAAACA